rnacentral:rRNA from 1 species
GAUGAACGCUGGCGGCGUGCCUAAUACAUGCAAGUCGAGCGAACGGACGAGAAGCUUGCUUUUCUGAUGUUAGCGGCGGACGGGUGAGUAACACGUGGAUAACCUACCUAUAAGACUGGGAUAACUUCGGGAAACCGGAGCUAAUACCGGAUAAUAUUUUGAACCGCAUGGUUCAAAAGUGAAAGACGGUCUUGCUGUCACUUAUAGAUGGAUCCGCGCUGCAUUAGCUAGUUGGUAAGGUAACGGCUUACCAAGGCAACGAUGCAUAGCCGACCUGAGAGGGUGAUCGGCCACACUGGAACGGAGACACGGUCCAGACUCCUACGGGAGGCAGCAGUAGGGAAUCUUCCGCAAUGGGCGAAAGCCUGACGGAGCAACGCCGCGUGAGUGAUGAAGGUCUUCGGAUCGUAAAACUCUUUUAUGAGGGAAGAACAUAUGUGUAAGUAACUGUGCACAUCUUGACGGUACCUAAUCAGAAAGCCACGGCUAACUACGUG